rnacentral:rRNA from 1 species
UGGGGAAUUUUGGACAAUGGGCGCAAGCCUGAUCCAGCAAUGCCGCGUGCAGGAAGAAGGCCUUCGGGUUGUACACUGCUUUUGUACGGAACGAAAAGGUCUGCCCUAAUACGGCGGGCCGAUGACGGUACCGUAAGAAUAAGCACCGGCUAACUACGUGCCAGCAGCCGCGGUAACACGUAGGGCGCGAGCGUUAAUCGGAAUUACUGGGCGUAAAGCGUGCGCAGGCGGUGAUGCAAGACAGUUGUGAAAUCCCCGGGCUCAACCUGGGAAUUGCAUCUGUGACUGCAUCGCUAGAGUACGGUAGAGGGGGAUGGAAUUCCGCGUGUAGCAGUGAAAUGCGUGGAUAUGCGGAGGAACACCGAUGGCGAAGGCAAUACCCUGGACCUGUACUGACGCUCAUGCACGAAAGCGUGGGGCGCAAACA